ACUUCAACGUUAAUAUGUCAAAUGCAAAAGAUAAUGAAAAAGCCUACCAAGGUAUUCUAAGGUGUAUGAUGAAACGAUCUUAGGAUCGUUCUCUCUGCUGAAGUUUAUUCACUGGUUAUAUUUGGAUUUAUCGUUAAUACUUGAAUAAAGAUUAUGGGCAUUAAAUUAGUUCUUAGUUUAAUUGUUCAUAA